rnacentral:rRNA from 1 species
GUUAAGCGACUAAGCGUACACGGUGGAUGCCCUGGCAGUCAGAGGCGAUGAAGGACGUGCUAAUCUGCGAUAAGCGUCGGUAAGGUGAUAUGAACCGUUAUAACCGGCGAUUUCCGAAUGGGGAAACCCAGUGUGAUUCGUCACACUAUCAUUAACUGAAUCCAUAGGUUAAUGAGGCGAACCGGGGGAACUGAAACAUCUAAGUACCCCGAGGAAAAGAAAUCAACCGAGAUUCCCCCAGUAGCGGCGAGCGAACGGGGAGCAGCCCAGAGCCUGAAUCAGUGUGUGUGUUAGUGGAAGCGUCUGGAAAGGCGUGCGAUACAGGGUGACAGCCCCGUACACAAAAAUGCACAUACUGUGAGCUCGAUGAGUAGGGCGGGACACGUGGUAUCCUGUCUGAAUAUGGGGGGACCAUCCUCCAAGGCUAAAUACUCCUGACUGACCGAUAGUGAACCAGUACCGUGAGGGAAAGGCGAAAAGAACCCCGGCGAGGGGAGUGAAAAAGAACCUGAAACCGUGUACGUACAAGCAGUGGGAGCACG